rnacentral:sRNA from 12 species
AGAAGUAUGCAGUAAUAACUUAUAGGGUGCUUUGGUGUUCCCUCGGAGUAUCCGGGGCGUGAUUGAGCAAUCAAUUACUUAGCCAAAGGAUAUCGCCCUACAAGACGCUACUUCU